UAUUACUGUUGUUACUAAUAACAUAUUUACAACCGUGUUUACCUCAUAGGGUGAUAGAGAGCCAUGGACAAGUGAGGCUUGGAAUGAUGCGUCACCUCUAUGUGGUCAUUGACUGUUCAAGGAGUAUGGAAGACCAGGACUUGAAACCGAACCGCCUCACUUCUACUCUAAAGCUGAUUGAAGCGUUUGUCGAUGAAUACUUUGACCAAAACCCCAUCAGUCAGGUGGGCAUUAUCACUACGAAGAAUAAAAGGGCUGAGAAGCUGACUGACCUGGCAGGUG